GAUAUGGCUCAGGAUGAACGCUGGCGGCGUGCCUAACACAUGCAAGUCGAGCGAAGCGGUUUUAAGGAAGUUUUCGGAUGGAAUUAAAACUGACUGAGCGGCGGACGGGUGGGUAACGCGUGGGUAACCUGCCUCAUACAGGGGGAUAACAGUUAGAAAUGGCUGUUAAUACCGCAUAAGCACACAGCUUCGCAUGGAGCAGUGUGAAAAACUCCGGUGGUAUGAGAUGGACCCGCGU
rnacentral:rRNA from 1 species